GACGAACGCUGGCGGCGUGCCUAAUACAUGCAAGUAGAACGCAGUUGCGAACGGGUGAGUAACGCGUAGGUAACUGCCUCAUAGCGGGGGAUAACUAUUGGAAACGAUAGCUAAUACCGCAUACUGUGAGAUGGACCUGCGUUGUAUGAGUCAGUUGGUGCGGUAACGGGUCACCAAGGCGACGAUACAUAGCCGACCGUAGAGGGUGAUCGGGCCCACUGGGACUUGGACCAGGCCCAAGCUCCUAAGGGAGGCAGCAGUAGGGAAUCUUCGGAAAAGGACGGAAGUCUGAACGAGCAAAGCCGCGGGAGUGAAGAAGGGUUUCGGAUCGUAAAGGUAUGUUGUUAGAGAAGCGGUAACUACCCAAAAAGGGACGGCUAACUACGUGCCAGCCGCCGCGGUAAUAC
rnacentral:rRNA from 1 species